UACAGAGGUCUCAAGCGUUGUUCGGAUUCAUUGGGCGUAAAGCGCGCGUAGGCGGCGCCGCAAGUCGGCCGUGAAAUCUCCAGGCUUAACCUGGAGGGGUCGGGCGAGACUGCGGUGCUCGAGGUGGGCAGAGGGCGGUGGAAUUCCGGGUGUAGUGGUGGAAUGCGUAGAGCUCCGGAGGAACACCAGUGGCGAAGGCGGCCGCCUGGCCUGGCCUGACGCUGAGGCGCGAAAGCGUGGGGAGCAAACAGGG
rnacentral:rRNA from 1 species